rnacentral:sRNA from 1 species
UCCUCUCAAGAAAUGGGGUCCCGGAUGUAAAAAGGGGUGUGACAAAUGCGUAGGGGAUUGUGACAAAUUUAACGGCACCUGCAAAAAGUGCAAACCGGGAUUCAGGUUCCCGCAAAAAGGCUGCAUUUACCCUUGUGAAAUGGACAGGUAUGGCGAGGACUGCAAGCUAAGCUGUGAAGAGAAGUGUGGUUCGAACUGCAUUGAAACGGUCAAAGGGCAAUGCAAGUCACAAUCUAAUACCAAGUAUGCCAUAUUUUUAAUACUGAUACCAUCACCAUUGGCUGUCUACUACCUACUACACCGAAAGAAAGAUUGAGGAACAAGAGAGAACCAUGAACAACCAAGAAAGAAAGAUAAAAAAAAUCAAGAAAGAAUGGUUAAUAAAUAUGUACAUAUGUCUACAGAAGAUUCGUGAGCUUGCACACAGAAAUAAUACACCUCAAUUAGUAUCAUUAAAUGUAUUAAUAUUAAACUGCCAAUGUCAGUUAUUUCCUAUUAGUGACUUUGGAGUUGGGACGACAUGAGAAUUCACAACUAUUGAUUCUUUCUGUGUACUUUUAUAUGUCUUCGCAUGUUUGAGUUGUCUGUGUGUGCGAGUUUUGUGAUUUGGUGGGUGGGUGUGUGUUAGGCACAAAGGAAACACAAAAUUUAUGAAAAAAAUAUAUUUAACUCUUUCUCUCCUAACUGACGAUACCAGCGUUGAUUCCACCAGAACGUGGCAAAUAAUUACGGAGAGAAAAAGUUAAACCUAGAGCACAGUGUACUCUUGUGCUGUAGUGAUUAUCUCUUAUAGAAAAGGAUUUUUGUAUCAUUCCGUUUUAUUGGAAAUACCGCUGGCGUAGCUAGGGAAGAGGCGGUCCAAAUUUGAAACUUCUCCUGGCCCCCCUCUUGAGGGUGACCCCCGAAAGAGUGUCUGAAUUUCUAUUUUUUUUAAACAUAAAAUAUUAAGCCACUGCAUGUUAUCUUGUAAUUCACAUUGUUACAUACGUUAGUGACCCUGUUGCAUGUAUUUCACACAUUAGACUUACAUAUUUAUUAAGUACAUUAACUAACCAAUAGGGGCGCGGUGGCUAGUGGUUAA